rnacentral:lncRNA from 1 species
AAACUUAAGCUUAAACCGACUCUUAAAUCCCUAAAUCACUAAAUUUUUCUGUAAAUCGUAUAACAAUCUUUUUAUCUAAAUGUUCGUCUUUAUAGAGUUUUAUAAUAACCAUCACUAAAUAGUAAUCACAAACUUUUUCUCUAAAUCGUUAAAGGUUAGUUCUGUGGACUUUCAUCAAAGAUUGCCCUAAUCGCCGGCAAUGAAUUUUGCGUAACUCUGUGGGAGAUCA